GCUACUACGUGCAGCAGCGCGGUAUACGUAGGGUGCAAGCGUUGUCCGGAAUAUUGGGCGUAAAGAGCUCGUAGGCGGUUUGUCGCGUCUGCUGUGAAAUCCCGAGGCUCAACCUCGGGCCUGCAGUGGGUACGGGCAAACUAGAGUGUGGUAGGGGAGAUUGGAACUCCUGGUGUAGCGGUGGAAUGCGCAGAUAUCAGGAAGAACACCGAUGGCGAAGGCAGAUCUCUGGGCCAUUACUGACGCUGAGGAGCGAAAGCGUGGGGAGCGAACAGGAUUAGAUACCCUGGUAGUCACGCCGUAAACGUUGGGAACUAGAUGUAGGGUCCAUUCCACGGAUUCUGUGUCGCAGCUAACGCAUUAAGUUCCCCGCCUGGGGAGUACGGCCGCAAGGCUAAAACUCAAAGGAAUUGACGGGGGCCCGCACAAGCGGCGGAGCAUGCGGAUUAAUUCGAUGCAACGCGAAGAACCUUACCAAGGCUUGACAUAUACCGGAAAAGCGUAGAAAUACGCUCCCCGCAAGGUCGGUAUACAGGUGGUGCAUGGUUGUCGUCAGCUCGUGUCGUGAGAUGUUGGGUUAAGUCCCGCAACGAGCGCAACCCUCGUCCUAUGUUGCCAGCACGUAAUGGUGGGAACUCAUGGGAGACUGCCGGGGUCAACUCGGAGGAAGGUGGGGAUGACGUCAAAUCAUCAUGCCCCUUAUGUCUUGGGCUUCACGCAUGCUACAAUGGCCGAUACAGAGGGCUGCAAUACCGCAAGGUGGAGCGAAUCCCAAAAAGUCGGUCUCAGUUCGGAUUGAGGUCUGCAACUCGACCUCAUGAAGUCGGAGUCGCUAGUAAUCGCAGAUCAGCAACGCUGCGGUGAAUACGUUCCCGGGCCUUGUACACACCGCCCGUCAAGUCAUGAAAGUCGGUAACACCCGAAGCCAGUGGCCUAACCGCAAGGAAGGAGCUGUCGAAGGUGGGAUCGGUGAUUAGGACUAAGUCGUAACAAGGUAACCAAUC
rnacentral:rRNA from 1 species